rnacentral:piRNA from 1 species
UCUGGCCCCCCAUCCACCUCACUGAGAGC